AUAAGCGGAGGAAAAGAAACCAACCGGGGAUUGCCCCCAGUAACGGCGAGUGAAGCGGCAACAGCUCAAAUUUGAAAUCUGGCCCCUAGGGUCCGAGUUGUAAUUUGUAGAGGAUGCUUUUGGUGAGGUGCCGCCCGAGUUCCCUGGAACGGGACGCCGCAGAGGGUGAGAGCCCCGUCUGGCUGGCCACCGAGCCUCUGUAAAGCUCCUUCGACGAGUCGAGUAGUUUGGGAAUGCUGCUCAAAAUGGGAGGUAUAUGUCUUCUAAAGCUAAAUAUUGGCCAGAGACCGAUAGCGCACAAGUAGAGUGAUCGAAAGAUGAAAAGCACCUUGAAAAGAGGGUUAAACAGUACGUGAAAUUGUUGAAAGGGAAGCGCUUGUGACCAGACUUGGGCGCGGCGGAUCAUCCGGGGUUCUCCCCGGUGCACUUCGCCGUGUUCAGGCCAGCAUCAGUUCGGCGCGGGGGAAAAAGGCUUCGGGAACGUGGCUCCUCCGGGAGUGUUAUAGCCCGUUGCAUAAUACCCUGCGCUGGACUGAGGACCGCGCAUCUGCAAGGAUGCUGGCGUAAUGGUCACCAGCGACCCGUCUUGAAACACGGACCAAGGAGUCGUCUUCGUAUGCGAGUGUUCGGGUGUCAAACCCCUACGCGUAAUGAAAGUGAACGCAGGUGAGAGCUUCGGCGCAUCAUCGACCGAUCCUGAUGUUCUCGGAUGGAUUUGAGUAAGAGCAUACGGGGCCGGACCCGAAAGAAGGUGAACUAUGCCUGUAUAGGGUGAAGCCAGAGGAAACUCUGGUGGAGGCUCGCAGCGGUUCUGACGUGCAAAUCGAUCGUCAAAUAUGGGCAUGGGGGGCGAAAGACUAAUCGAACCUUCUAGUAGCU
rnacentral:rRNA from 1 species